CAUGCGUGUAGAUUUUGUGUCCAAUUAAUUCAACUAUAUAUAUCUAUUAAUUACACUAAAAUUAAUUUCUAAUUAAGUUUCUCACACGUACGUAUGUAGCACAACACAUAAAUUAAUAAAGCAUUUUCAUGCAACACCUCAUCACUUGAUGAACCGCCGUUGUACGUUGAAAAUAUGUACACAAUGAGAAAUUGUAGAACUUUCUAUAACUCUUCAACAAAAUAGAUUCAUGAGAUUUGGUAUAUAUGUUUAAAGCCAUAUUGUAUACUUUUAUUAUUAGCCCUAUUAUAUAUAUUAAUUAACUAAACUUAUCCGAUUUUGCUGCCAUUUUUAUUGACUUUUAAUACCAAAAUAAAAAAAUGAAAAAAUUAAAUUAUACAUUUUAAAGAUCGUUUAGUGUGCUAUAAAUAUUGGAGAAGAUGCAAGGUGCAAUGCCAUCAUUAUUAUCUUAUCAAAUAUAUCAUUAAUAGCUAGCCAAAAAUUAAUGGAGUCUUCUUCUUCUUCUUCCAGGACUAAAUGGUUUCCUUCUCCACAAGAGGUUCUAGCUGUUGAAAAUGGAAAACGCAUUAAUAAUAAUAAUAGCCAAGAAGAGGAAAAACAAGAAGAAGCUACAACGAUUCAACCGCACUCUCCUCAGGCAUGCUUUGGUCGAAAGAAAAAACGCCCAAACAAACCAAACCCAUAGAUGAUCAAUGCAUGAAUGUAUAAUUGAGAUGGAUGGAUGGUAUAUGAUAUAUAUGGAUCUGCUUCCUCUUAAAUAAUUUCUUCCUAUACUAUAAUAAAUAGACCUGUAUUAUUAUUAUUAUUAUUAUUAUUAUUAUUAUUAUUUUUGUGAUAACAUUAUUACUUUCUGUACUGUUUGAAGAUCUACUGUACAUUUUAUAUAUAUGUUAUGUAAAAUAGGCUAAAUAAUGAUGUACUUUUGAAAGUUAUUAUAGGAUAUAUGUAUGGAAUCAAAUCAUUAAUAUAUAUUAUUGCAAACUUUUGAUGAGAA